UGGAAACUAUUUGGUAAUGAGUGGUUAAGUACAAAGGGGUUUGAAGUACAUUUUGAUAUAAACUAAUUGCAUAAAUUAGGUUAAAGAAAUAUUAGGGGUGACAUUUUCGUAAAUUGAAGGACAAGCAUUAAAAUCAUAGUGUAUAUAUGUAUGUGCUCUUGGUAAGAGAAAGAAAAGAAGAAAAAAAAAAAUCAGAAGCUGAACCUUCCUCUCCCUUCUCUGCAACCCGUCGCCUCCUUCUCUCUAUAACCCAAAUUUUCACUCUUCCAUUAAAGGUAGUGCAUGCAUGAAAUUCUUUCACAAACAACUCAUUAUGACAACUAAAACACCAAAUCCAUGUUUAGAUUUCUCUUUCCCCCAUUCUCUCUGACCUAAUCUAGCCCCUCCAUAACCAAUUUCUUAUUCUUCCUCAACCAAGUUAUGCAUGUGCUAAUUGAAGCUUCCAUUUAUCAUGUUAUAUUGUUGGAAGAUUAUUUACAGUGUCAAAGCACAUAUAUAGUAAUGAAAUUCAGAAUUUCUCUCAAACCCAUUCUCUUUACUGUGGCCGAAAUGCACGGUUAUGGGGACAUAAUUCCCAAUAUCUUCCAAGCCUUAAAGCAAUUGAAGCAUAAUAGAAAAGGGAUAAGGAGUACCUGUUGUGCAGAAGGUUGAGAGAUCAAGACUAUGGAACAGGGAAGAACAAGUUUGAAGGAAAGAGGAGUUUGUAAUAAGUCUAGGGAAAUUCGUGUUUUGGAUAUGUCUUCACUAAAACGGUAACUGCUCCUUCUCUUUAAUUCUGAUUAAAAUUCCUCUUGCUGCUAUGGAAAGCUAACGCAAUUCCCUUCGAUUUGAGUACCAACUUCGUAGGUUUUAGCUUAAUAUUGAAGUCUGUAGACGAGAUGGAAGUUAGGGUACUGUGCUGCAAAUUCUGCAGAAAACUGGAUGCGGGUUUAGUAUGUUGCAGCUGUAAAUUUCGUCUUUUGACGAGUCCGGGAGUUGUCGAUGACAUUUUACGGUAAAGGGAUUUCAAUGACAAAGUUCAAGGUUGGAAAUAAAACUACAGAAUAGGAUCAAAUCAAAGAAUGAGCUUGUUGGAAGGAGCUAAAAGUGGGAGCUUGGUACUAUGGUUGUGAUGCUCAAUUGUUGAGAAAGCUUUUAAUUUUAAAGGUGGGUUCCCUUAGAGCCUUAAACUCUAGUUAGUUUUAGCUCCAUUAGUUUCCCUAAAAUUUAUGCAUGACAACAUUAGUUUAGAUAUGAUAAUAGUAUCCCCAAAUUAUGAAUUGUGCAUGAUCACAUAAGUUUAGGAUCAAUUAGUGUAUGAGAGGAGCUUAAUCCCAAAGCUUCUCUCCAUUUUAAUCAUGUAAUAUAUGUUGCAUUAUUCAUGGCUAGCGAGAAAAGGGAUUUGUGGUGAGAAGUUUUGUAAAAAUGGUGAAAAACAUGAAAACAGAGUACUGAACUGAUAAUCUCGCUAAGCGACGUACUUCUCGCUAAGCAAGGAUAUCAACUCAGAAUUCUGCAAAAUUUGAAAACAAGAACUGUAUUACUCUUUUGAUUCCCCAAUCUUUCUAGAUGAUUUUCUGUGAAUAAUGCAGGUAUAAUCCUUAAUUAAAAUGUUAAUUACACAUUAAGUUAUGAUAAUCAGGAAAUCAGGACAAGUUAGUUACCCAGGGAGGGAAUUCAUGGGCAUGAUAACAAUCAGGAUAGUUAAGUUAUGUUAAGGAAGUCAGUCAAUCAUGGUGGUUACUUAUGUACCACGUUAUGGGAUUCGAGGAAUCCAAUCAUGUUACGAUUGUGAGCUUCAUGCCGUGUCGAUGCAUAUAAUCAUCAACGACAGAUAUGUCAGACCUCUGAGAUCGGCUCACCUCAGAGUGUCUUAGUUAUGUUAAAAUGAACAAGAUAAUUAAUAUGUGUUACACCUUUAUAUUAUUACGUUUAUGAAAUCAUGUUAUGAAAUUAUGUUAGAGACUGACAAUCAGGAUCAAGGAACUUUAGUUCAUCAGUUGCCCCCGGUGUAAACACCAAUAGUAACUGGGUAGUAGGAAUCCACUGAGACGAAGUGACUGUUCUCAUCCCCCACUUAUUUGAUUUCAGAUAAGCAGGUUAAUCGAGAUAUCUUGGUUUGCUAGCAUGAAGAUUCAGAUACGCGAAUUACGUUAUGGAGCUGACAUCAUGUUAAUCUUAUUAUUAUAUAAGAUUCAGUUUAUUUGAGUUCAGUAGUUAGCUCAAUCAUGUAUUCAUUUAGUGGAUUAUUGUAAUCCUAUUCAUGUAUUUGAUCUUUAUGUAAUGAAAAUUUAAUGUUUCCCGAUUCAGUUAUGUACACUCUUGUCGAUAUUCUAGAUAAAUCGAUAUGGGAUGUUAUAAUUGGUAUCA
rnacentral:lncRNA from 1 species